CACACACACACACUUACGCACGCACGCGCGCCCGCACGCACUCGUUUUCACCACGUUCAGUUUUUCCAUCACGGAGCGAAUUGGUGAAGAAUUGCCGGGCCACUUGGUCUACCCACUUCCCGUGAGCCGUAUACACGAAACCGAGUGGAAAAAGGGGCGAGCUUUUUUUGCUCCUCCGCGCUAACUUUGCCGUAGACCAUGGUGCGAGCGCCGGAGCACGUGACCCGAGCUGAUCCGCCGGUUUUGUUAGGGUGGAGGAUUUCUGGGUUUGUGUACAUAAGGUCGUGUGCUUGUGUGUUUUAUUCUCUCUCUCUCUCUCUCUCUCUCUCUCUCUCUCUCUCUUUACUCCAAGUGCCACCGCUCCGCCUCCUCUUUUCGCAACAUUGACGCAAUGUAUAAAUGCUGGAACAAAAGGACAACUUCCUUGAAGCUUGGCGUAUAAUUGCAAAAAAAAAGAGAGAGAGAGAGAGAGAGAGAGACAGAGAGAGAGAGAGAGUGAGAGAGUAAAGGAGAGAGAGAGAGAGAGAGAGAGAGAGAGAGAGAGAUACAGCCGCCUCGACUGGCGCGCGCUAACCGGAGCCCGGUGUGUGCCAGUUUGCUGGAAUAUUAUUUGUGAUUUUGAUGUGCUCUCCUGUGCACAUUACGAUGUGAUGGGAAUCCUAUAGCGCUGCUAUCCACCGCUGAAAACAAUUAAAGUAAACGGUUACACACACAAUUCCAGCUAAAGACAACGGCGUAUCUGAAUAAUGCCAUGGAUUGGAAGCCCCGGUCUGUCCGGUUGCGCGCGCGGGCGAGCGAGCGCGUCUGUGUUUUCGGUCGCGCGCGAGUGCGUUUGCGCGUGCGCGCGCUCACACGCGCGGGGGGCCUGGCGGUGCCGUAGCAGCACAGAAUGGUUUGUGAGUUUUUUUAAAAAGAGGGUGCAGGCCGUGCUGUGCUGCGGCAGCAACGCCGGGACAAGCGCGCUUCCGAAUCAAAAGGAAAGUAUGCAAAACGGUAGCUUUGUGAACGUCACUCUGACUCUCUGUGCGCGUGGGGGGGGGGG